CGGAGGGUGCAAGCGUUAUCCGGAUUUAUUGGGUUUAAAGGGUCCGUAGGCGGAUCCGUAAGUCAGUGGUGGAAUCUCACAGCUUAACUGUGAAACUGCCAUUGAUACUGCGGGUCUUGAGUAAGGUAGAAGUGGCUGGAAUAAGUAGUGUAGCGGUGAAAUGCAUAGAUAUUACUUAGAACACCAAUUGCGAAGGCAGGUCACUAUGUCUUAACUGACGCUGAUGGACGAAAGCGUGGGGAGCGAACAGGAUUAGAUACCCUGGUAGUCCACGCCGUAAACGAUGCUAACUCGUUUUGGGCUUUCGGGUUCAGAGACUAAGCGAAAGUGAUAAGUUAGCCACUGGGAGUACGUCGACAAGAAUG
rnacentral:rRNA from 1 species